GGUUUAUAUUUUGUUGCUAAUGGCUAAAUCGAAGGAUAUAAGUGCCCAACUGUAUCAACCAUACCAAAUCGUACCAACAAAAUAAAAUAUCAAUAUGACACAAUCCUUAUGCCAAUAGCACAGCUCAAAACUCUCUAUUUUUUAAAUUAGUAAGGAAAUUUCUCAAUAAAGUUUAAAAAAUUUUCUAAGAAUACAAAAUAAACAGUUAGAAUUUUAUUGCUAAAAAAAAAUAAUUCUUUCAUGUCAUUAUAUUGUCGAUACAUAUGUAUCUUUUAUAACUGGCACGUAUCGGCACAAUCCGACACACUGUACCGACAAGUUACCGGCACGAUCCUAUGCUACGGCAUUUAAAUUUUUAGAUAGGACCCACUUUCGAAC
rnacentral:lncRNA from 1 species